GACAGAGGGUGCAAACGUUGUUCGGAAUUACUGGGCGUAAAGCGAGUGUAGGCGGUCUGUAAAGUCGGGUGUGAAAGCCCCGGGCUCAACCCGGGAAGUGCACUCGAAACUCACAGGCUAGAGUAUCGGAGAGGUUGGUGGAAUUCUCGGUGUAGAGGUGAAAUUCGUAGAUAUCGAGAGGAACACCAGUGGCGAAGGCGGCGACCUGGGCCAAUACUGACGCUGAGGUGCGAAAGCGUGGGGAGCAAACAGG
rnacentral:rRNA from 1 species